GGUGGCAUGGCCAAGCGGUAAGGCAGAAGCCUGCAAAGCUUCGAUUCCCCAGUUCGAAUCUGGGUGCCACCU
rnacentral:tRNA from 2 species